rnacentral:lncRNA from 1 species
UUGUGAUAUAUGGUGAGUGAGUCAAUGGUCAAAACACAAUGUUGAUUUAGACAUACAAAGUGGUAAAGGAUGAUUAUGCGAGAACAUGAUAUAUUUUGAAAAUAAUUAAAAAGUAUUUUUAGAAUCAAUUUAUUCUACCACAAUUGUUGUGAUUGUAUGCCUUAAAUAAACUUUUCUUCAAUAUGGACUUUUAAGACUUGUAACGUGGCUUAUUUCAUGGUUUUUGAAUAAAAGGAUUAUAAGGCUCAAAUUUCAAUUGUAACCACCAUUUC